AUUUUUUCUCAAGUCUGGCAGAUGCGCCCAGUGUAACCUACGAUGUUCUUCCUGUAAUCAAAAAUGCCUCAUGUGAGCAAAAUAAAUAUGUUAUUUCUUGGAACAAGCAAAAUUGGCGGCUGUUUCAAGUUCUUGUCGGUUGCGAAAACAAAUCAAAAAUUCUUAAUACUAUAAAAUAUUUUUAACAAGUUUCAGAAUUAAUUGAAAAAAGUUGAACAUAUAUUCGAACUGAAGUCAUGAAACACGUAUCAAGUAUCACGAAUCACGAAUCAUGAAUCACGAAACACGAAUUUUUUGGAGGAAGAUACAUACCAGCCUUAAAACCAAAUCCAAUUGAAAAAACACAAGCCGCUAAAAAAACGAUCCGACCACCGACUCGGCUCUUGCAAAAGUAACCAAUGAACAAGAAAACUUGUGUCGUUCUUUCAAAAUUAAUAUAAAUACAUUUGGCAGCCCAUACUCAAAUUUGCGUGAUGUAACUAUAUUAAUUUGGUUUAGACUUUUUGGACACAAAUGAAUUUCACAAGGGGAUAAAUCGGAUUAGCACACUAUUUAAUAGUUAUUUCUUGGAACAAGCAAAAUUGGCGGCUGUUUCAAGUUCUUGUCGGUUGCGAAAACAAAUCAAAAAUUCUUAAUACUAUAAAAUAUUUUUAACAAGUUCCAGAAUUAAUUGAAAAAAGUUGAACAUAUAUUCGAACUGAAGUCAUGAAACACGUAUCAAGUAUCACGAAUCACGAAUCAUGAAUCACGAAACACGAAUUUUUUGGAGGAAGAUACAUACCAGCCUUAAAACCAAAUCCAAUUGAAAAAACACAAGCCGCUAAAAAAACGAUCCGACCACCGACUCGUCUCUUGCAAAAGUAACCAAUGAACAAGAAAACUUGUGUCGUUCUUUCAAAAUUAAUAUAAAUACAUUUGGCAGCCCAUACUCAAAUUUGCGUGAUGUAACUAUAUUAAUUUGGUUUAGACUUUUUGGACACAAAUGAAUUUCACAAGGGGAUAAAUCGGAUUAGCACACUAUUUAAUAGUUAUUUCUUGGAACAAGCAAAAUUGGCGGCUGUUUCAAGUUCUUGUCGGUUGCGAAAACAAAUCAAAAAUUCUUAAUACUAUAAAAUAUUUUUAACAAGUUCCAGAAUUAAUUGAAAAAAGUUGAACAUAUAUUCGAACUGAAGUCAUGAAACACGUAUCAAGUAUCACGAAUCACGAAUCAUGAAUCACGAAACACGAAUUUUUUGGAGGAAGAUACAUACCAGCCUUAAAACCAAAUCCAAUUGAAAAAACACAAGCCGCUAAAAAAACGAUCCGACCACCGACUCGUCUCUUGCAAAAGUAACCAAUGAACAAGAAAACUUGUGUCGUUCUUUCAAAAUUAAUAUAAAUACAUUUGGCAGCCCAUACUCAAAUUUGCGUGAUGUAACUAUAUUAAUUUGGUUUAGACUUUUUGGACACAAAUGAAUUUCACAAGGGGAUAAAUCGGAUUAGCACACUAUUUAAUAGAUCUCUCUCAAAGGUAAAGAUGUCUUUAAUCUCCGCAAUCCAAUAAUUCUAACGGAUAUGCCAUUUCAAUUCAAAAGAUUGCAAUUCACAAUUCUAUUGGCGUCUGCAAUCACCAUCUAAAGCGAGCUUAGUUCAAUAUUUAGGAUACUGUGGUUCAACUCUCAACACAGAUAAUCUUCCACAUGAACAACUAUAUGUUACUUGUUCUAUAGUCCACAAAUCGAACAAUAUAUAUCUACACUCGCAAUGGAAUAAUAAAAUAAAAUUAUUGAUAA